UACGUAGGCAGCAAGCGUUGUUCGGAGUUACUGGGCGUAAAGGGUGCGUAGGCGGUCCUAUAAGUAUGGUGUGAAAUCUCCCGGCUUAACUGGGAGGGUGCGCUAUAGACUGUGGGACUAGAGUGUGGGAGAGGAAAGUGGAAUUCCUGGUGUAGCGGUGAAAUGCGUAGAUAUCAGGAGGAACACCUGUGGUGUAGACGGCUUUCUGGACCAUAGCUGACGCUGAGACACGAAAGCGUGGGUAGCAAACAGG
rnacentral:rRNA from 1 species